rnacentral:lncRNA from 1 species
UCUUGUGUCUCAGAUUAUAAACUAAUAACUGGGUACUGCAUAUGCCCAGCCACACUGUACCUAGAGUUUGUACAAAUCGUGCCUUUAAUUUCAGGGCUAAUGGAAACCUGAGCACAGCAGGUCUAGCCAUGGCCAUCAUCCAACAGGAGAGGAGGGGUAGGCAGAGGGGAAAGGACAGCCCCCUGUUCAAGAAGACUGGGCUCCAUGGAAACACAGUACCCAGACAGCCGGUGGCGAACAUCGAUUUGGAGUCAAAUGGAUCAGAUUUUAGAAACAGCUUCAUCACUUACACAGUGCAACUUCUGGUGAGUUACCUGACCUUGCCAAGCCCCAAGUCCUCAAGGGUGGAAUGAGAAUCGUACUGGUGCUGCCGCACAGGUUGAAGUUAAAUAACAUUGCACAGUUAUCCCUCAGUAUCCAAAGAAGAUUGGUUCCAGGACCCCAAAGUCUGCAGAUGCUCAAGUCCCUUCUAUAAAAUGGCUUGAGGGCUGGGGAUUUAGCUCAGUGGCUCCGCUCUCUGCCUCACAAGCGCAAGGACCCAAGCUCGAUCCCCGGUACCAAAAAUAAAUAAAUAAAUAAAUAAAUAAAAUGAAAUGGCUUGGUAUUUGUAUAUAUAACCUACACAUAUCCUCCUAUAUACUUUAAAUCAUCUCUAGAUGACUUAAAAUGUUUAAUACACUUGAAAUGCUAUGUAAAUACUUGCUAUACUAAAUUGUUU